CCCUUAGAUGUCCGGGGCUGCACGCGCGCUACACUGAAGGAAUCAGCGUGCUAAAACCAUUGUCGAAAGGCAUUGGUAAACCCAUUAAAAUCCUACGUGAUUGGGAUCGGGAAUUGCAAUUAUUUCCCUUGAACGAGGAAUUCCCAGUAAGUGUGGGUCAUAAGCUCGCGUUGAUUACGUCCCUGUCCUUUGUACACACCGCCCGUCGCUGCCCGGGACUGAGCCGUUUCGAGAAAAGCGGGGACUGCUGCUGUCGGGGCUUUCGGGCCUUGGCUUCGGUGGAAACCGCUUUAAUCGCAGUGGCUUGAACCGGGCAAAAGUCGUAACA
rnacentral:rRNA from 1 species